rnacentral:rRNA from 1 species
AGUGAACGCUGGCGGUAGGCCUAACACAUGCAAGUCGAACGGCAGCACAGUAAGAGCUUGCUCUUACGGGUGGCGAGUGGCGGACGGGUGAGGAAUACAUCGGAAUCUACUUUUUCGUGGGGGAUAACGUAGGGAAACUUACGCUAAUACCGCAUACGACCUACGGGUGAAAGCAGGGGAUCUUCGGACCUUGCGCGAUUGAAUGAGCCGAUGUCGGAUUAGCUAGUUGGCGGGGUAAAGGCCCACCAAGGCGACGAUCCGUAGCUGGUCUGAGAGGAUGAUCGGCCACACUGGAACUGAGACACGGUCCAGACCCCGACGGGAGGAAGCAGGGGGGAAUAUUGGACAAGGGGCGCAAGCCUGAUCCACCCAUACCGCGUGGGUGAAGAAGGCUUUCGGGUUGUAAAGCCUUUUUUUGGGGAAAAAAAAGAAGCAGUUAAAUACCCCGCUGUUCUGACGGUACCAAAAGAAUAAGCACGGGCUAGCUUGGUG